CCAAUAGCGUAUAUUAAAGUUGUUGCAGUUAAAAAGCUCGUAGUUGAAUUUCGGGAUCAGUACGCUGGUCAUGCCUUUGGUAUGUACUGGUGUUACUGGUUCCUACCUUCCGACGAACCGUCAUGUCAUUAAUUUGGUGCGGCGGGAAAUCAGGACUGUUACUUUGAAAAAAUUAGAGUGUUUAAAGCAGGCUCGCGCUUGAAUACAUUAGCAUGGAAUAAUGAAAUAGGACGUUCGAUCCUAUUUUGUUGGUUUCUAGGAUUGACGUAAUGAUUAAUAGGGAUAGUUGGGGGCAUUAGUAUUCAAUUGUCAGAGGUGAAAUUCUUGGAUUUAUUGAAGACUAACUACUGCGAAAGCAUUUGCCAAGGAUGUUUUCAUUAAUCAAGAACGAAAGUUAGGGGAUCGAAGACGAUCAGAUACCGUCGUAGUCUUAACCAUAAACUAUGCCGACUAGGGAUCGGAUGAUGUUAAUUUUUUAAUGACUCAUUCGGCGCCUUACG
rnacentral:rRNA from 1 species